CUGACGGGCGCGUUCGGGUCAAUUGCGGAUUGCAACACCCAAUCUCCCUCCACGUCCCGCCCUCGAUGGCGGUCGCGGAGGGGGAACGCGUGACCAUCAG
rfam:Halanaeroarchaeum sulfurireducens strain HSR2, complete genome.